rnacentral:lncRNA from 1 species
AUCUCUGCAGCUGUUACUUCCUUUACUGACUUAAUUCAAUGUAAAUGAAUUAAAUCCCUGCUUUCCCCCUAGAAUAAAGAGGAAUUUUGAAGACGGAGAGGAAGCACAGCCUCAGGCUGCUGCAGAGGGUACAGAACUAGAGACUCCUCUCACUAAGACACCCAAGCCCUGAGCAUCCACUGAAGAAGAAGAUUAUCUUAAACCUGGAGCUACUGAACACACUGAGCAGACCUCCGUUUUGCUGCAGACAAGUUUUUGACUUCAUUACACUGUAAUACAAUUUCCAGAGUCUUUCUAAACUCAUAAGUGACUCUAAAACUAAUCAGAACUACUGAAUUCAGAGUUUAUAUACAGGGUUUA